UACGGAAGGUGCAAGCGUUAUCCGGAUUCACUAGGUUUAAAGGGAGCGUAGAUAGGAUGAUAAGUCAGUGGUGAAAUCUCCGAACUUAACUCGGAAACUGCCGUUGAUACUAUCAUUCUUGAAUAUUGUGGAGGUAAGCGGAAUAUGUCAUGUAGCGGUGAAAUGCUUAGAUAUGACAUAGAACACCGAUAGCGAAGGCAGCUUGCUACACAAUUAUUGACACUGAGGCUCGAAAGCGUGGAGAUCAAAC
rnacentral:rRNA from 1 species